ACGAUAAAGCGGGUGAAAAGCCCGCUCGCCGGAAGACCAAGGGUUCCUGUCCAACGUUAAUCGGGGCAGGGUGAGUCGACCCCUAAGGCGAGGCCGAAAGGCGUAGUCGAUGGGAAACGGGUUAAUAUUCCCGUACUUGGUGUUACUGCGAAGGGGGGACGGAGAAGGCUAUGUUGGCCGGGCGACGGUUGUCCCGGUUUAAGCGUGUAGGUGUGUGUUCCAGGUAAAUCCGGUUCACUUUAACACUGAGGCGUGACGACGAGGCACUACGGUGCUGAAGCAACAAAUGCCCUGCUUCCAGGAAAAGCCUCUAAGCAUCAGGUAACACGAAAUCGUACCCCAAACCGACACAGGUGGUCAGGUAGAGAAUACCAAGGCGCUUGAGAGAACUCGGGUGAAGGAACUAGGCAAAAUGGUGCCGUAACUUCGGGAGAAGGCACGCUGACACGUAGGUGAAGUGAUUUACUCAUGGAGCUGAAGUCAGUCGAAGAUACCAGCUGGCUGCAACUGUUUAUUAAAAACACAGCACUGUGCAAACACGAAAGUGGACGUAUACGGUGUGACGCCUGCCCGGUGCCGGAAGGUUAAUUGAUGGGGUCAGCGCAAGCGAAGCUCCUGAUCGAAGCCCCGGUAAACGGCGGCCGUAACUAUAACGGUCCUAAGGUAGCGAAAUUCCUUGUCGGGUAAGUUCCGACCUGCACGAAUGGCGUAAUGAUGGCCAGGCUGUCUCCACCCGAGACUCAGUGAAAUUGAACUCGCUGUGAAGAUGCAGUGUACCCGCGGCAAGACGGAAAGACCCCGUGAACCUUUACUAUAGCUUGACACUGAACAUUGAGCCUUGAUGUGUAGGAUAGGUGGGAGGCUUUGAAGCGUGGACGCCAGUCUGCGUGGAGCCGACCUUGAAAUACCACCCUUUAAUGUUUGAUGUUCUAACGUGGACCCGUGAUCCGGGUUGCGGACAGUGUCUGGUGGGUAGUUUGACUGGGGCGGUCUCCUCCUAAAGAGUAACGGAGGAGCACGAAGGUUGGCUAAUCCUGGUCGGACAUCAGGAGGUUAGUGCAAUGGCAUAAGCCAGCUUGACUGCGAGCGUGACGGCGCGAGCAGGUGCGAAAGCAGGUCAUAGUGAUCCGGUGGUUCUGAAUGGAAGGGCCAUCGCUCAACGGAUAAAAGGUACUCCGGGGAUAACAGGCUGAUACCGCCCAAGAGUUCAUAUCGACGGCGGUGUUUGGCACCUCGAUGUCGGCUCAUCACAUCCUGGGGCUGAAGUAGGUCCCAAGGGUAUGGCUGUUCGCCAUUUAAAGUGGUACGCGAGCUGGGUUUAGAACGUCGUGAGACAGUUCGGUCCCUAUCUGCCGUGGGCGCUGGAGAACUGAGGGGGGCUGCUCCUAGUACGAGAGGACCGGAGUGGACGCAUCACUGGUGUUCGGGUUGUCAUGCCAAUGGCACUGCCCGGUAGCUAAAUGCGGAAGAGAUAAGUGCUGAAAGCAUCUAAGCACGAAACUUGCCCCGAG
rnacentral:rRNA from 1 species